GGAACUUGAAAAUGUGAAUAUUUUCCCCAACAUCAGAUUCUUCUCUGACUACAUUUACUGAUGGAAAAUGCUGAGCGUUCUCCUUCAUCAAUGGUGUCGAUACAAGGUUCUUCUUCCGACUCAAAUUUUGGGGAGGUAUGGUUUUCUCUUCUUAUCUUUUCCUGAUAUAGAAAUUGUUUUGGUGCCAUGAAAUGUUUUUGAAGUUCUCUUUCAGGUUGGGGUUUCUAGUUUUUACCAUUAUUUUCUUAAUUGUACUUGGGCCCUUGUCUCUGUUUUAUAAUGUUUAGAAACUAAAGAUCAAGUUAAAGAGUAUGGCAUCAGUUUUUACUUGUUCAUAAUUUAAGUAAACCUUUUGUAAGCAAUUCAGGAUUUUCGGACAUUGAAAAAUAAGGAAUUGGGAAAGAGUCUUUCUUCUUCCGAAGAGAGUUUUAAAUCAAAGAAGUUGGUAACCAUUGAAAGUUCAAGAUUCAAUGUGCCUUAUUUGUUUAUUUUUUUUAAUUUGCUUUUCUUUACACAGAUUGAACAGGCUGUAGCAUAUGCCUAAGCAGGAUGAGAAGAGGCCAAAGUAGGUGUUGACAGAUUAUAUAUUCUUGUAAAUGGGAGUAGUGGCACAUGUUCAUGAAGGAUUAAUUAGUAAGAAGAAUUAUUCAGAGUGUAAUUUUUCCUAUCAUUACUGUAAAGUUAAUAUUUGUUUGUACAUCAACCUAAAACAUUAUGGAUCAA